GGCAGCAGUGGGGAAUCUUGCACAAUGGGGGAAACCCUGAUGCAGCGACGCCGCGUGAGUGAUGAAGCCCUUCGGGGUGUAAAGCUCUUUCGGCAGGGACGAUAAUGACGGUACCUGAAGAAGAAGCUGCGGCUAACUACGUGCCAGCAGCCGCGGUAAUACGUAGGCAGCGAGCGUUGUUCGGAGUUACUGGGCGUAAAGAGUGCGUAGGCGGUUUUCUAAGUUUGGUGUGAAAUCUCCCGGCUCAACUGGGAGGGUGCGCCGAAGACUGGAAGGCUAGAGUGUGGGAGAGGUAAGCGGAAUUCCUGGUGUAGCGGUGAAAUGCGUAGAUAUCAGGAGGAACACCUGCGGUGUAGACGGCUUACUGGACCAUAACUGACGCUGAGGCACGAAAGCGUGGGUAGCAAACAGGAUUAGAUACCCUGGUAGUCCACGCCCUAAACGAUGCAUACUUGGUGUGGGUAGUUCAUUCUAUCCGUGCCGGAGCUAACGCGUUAAGUAUGCCGCCUGGGGAGUACGGUCGCAAGGCUGAAACUCAAAGGAAU
rnacentral:rRNA from 1 species